rnacentral:rRNA from 1 species
GGGUUGUAAACCGCUUUUCGGGGGGAAGAGGAAGGACGGUCCCCCCGGAAUAAGUCUCGGCUAACUACGUGCCAGCAGCCGCGGUAAAACGUAGGAGGCAAACGUUAUCCGGUUUUACUGGGUGUAAAGCGCGUGCAGGCGGUUUCGUAAGUCGUGUGUGAAAGCGCUCAGGCUCAACCGGGCGAGGCCAUGCGAAACUGCGGAACUGGAGGCAGGUAGAGGCGUGUGGAAUUCCGGGUGUAGUGGUGAAAUGCGUAGAUAUCCGGAGGAACACCAGUGGCGAAGGCGACACGCUGGGCCUGACCUGACGCUAAGGCGCGAAAGCAUGGGGAGCGAACGGGAUUAGAAACCCCGGUAGUCCAUGCCGUAAACGAUGCGUACUAGGUGUUGCGGUGUCAAAACUGCAGUGCCGGAGCCAACGUGAUAAGUACGCCACCUGGGGACUACGGCCGCAAGGUUAAAAAUCAA